UUUUUUAAGUAUUCAAUAAGAGAGCUCUCUCUCCCCGUCCCUGUCUCGGACGCACACCAUGGAAACUCUCCGGCCACGUCUCCAGUACUCUGAAAAGGUGAAACCAAUAAGAUUAAAUCGGACAAUGCAUUUUUUUUUCUUUUUUCUUUUUUUUUGCCCCUUUUCUUCCCCCCUUUGGUGUAUCAUUAAGAUUUAACUCCGCACAUUUUGGUAAAAAGAAUGGGGGUCUGCAUGAGAGAAGAAGAGGAGAGAGAAGAGAGGAAAAGAGUGAGAGGGGGAAGCGAAUAGGAAGCGGGGUAGAUAUAUUAGAGAGGCUCUGAUGGAAACCUGCAUGUGGAGAAAGUGGACGGGUGGGAUGUUGGAAGAGGGAGAAGAAGCACCGGUGCAGGAGCGGCUGCUGUGCAGUCACAGAGAAGGCUCUCAGCGCUGUAGCUGCAGGAGGCGUCCGAACAAACGCCGAAGGAGGACUGACAUGCUGGAAAUGGGGUUUUCCUUAAUGCUGUUUGAUUUUAGAAAGAGGUUGUCCCUAUUUAGUAGUAUAGGGAUUUAUGUACUGGAUGAAUUGAAGAUUAAAAUUUGAUUCAUCCUUAUUGCCCUUUAGAAGUCCCAUUUCCAAUUUUAUAUUGGCUUCUUUGAAAUUAAGAUGUGGAAAAGAGUGUAGUUUGAUUUUCUGGGAAUCUAACAUCAGCAACUUUCACAGCAGGAAAUCAAAAUAAAAUCAUUUUGAAGUCAUUGUGAUAUUCAAAUGUAAAAACCUAUCAUGGACUCUGCUGGUUUAACUAUGCCAAGAUUAAAAGAAUCAGUGACUAAAUAAUAGCUUUACAAAGUUUGUUUAUACCCUUUACUUCUUGUAAGCACAUAAGUGACAUGAAAUGAAAACAACACAAAUUUACUUAAUCCCUUCUGGAAAUGGACCAUUCAGGAUUUUCUGAUGAUACUGAAUUUCAAUUUUGGUCAGUUGUUCUGAUCUGCCAAUAAUUUUUAUUAAUUUUUUUCAUAUUCCAUUGUUUCUGAUUAGUUCUAUGACCAGAAAAAAAUGACAGAACAUAGAGGAAUAAUGUCAUUUGAUGGAAAUAGUAAUUUUGAAUUCAAUACAAAGCAAAGAAUUAAAAGAUAGUCAAACAUUUCCCCCUUUUUUUUUCUAUCAAACCAUAAAAAGUUCCUUUUUGUGGAGGGUUUAAGUUGAUGUCUUUAUAGAGAGAAAAUGGUAUACGUUUAUAUCUGUGAUAGUUAGGUAUAAACUCACACAGGGGGAAACUCAUUAAGUCAGUUCUCCCCUGACUGAAUGAGUCAGAGGAAAAAGUCAAAUUUCUCCCGAAUUGAACUUUUUCUACUAUUGAAUGUUGAUAGUAAAACACUGUGAUUACAUAUUGGGCAAUGCAAGAACUAACAUCAUUCUCACUUCAUUUCAAGAUUUUCUAUUUGAAUCACAUUCACAAUUUUACAUUCAUUUUUUUCAUCAUGUAAAUUAUUGGACUUAUUUCAUGCUUUAUGGCUGGAAAUGACUCAAGGUGUUCCACGGCACAAAGUAAGAGACCACAGUUCGCUUUAGCCCCGUUGCAAUAGAUCAGGAAAAACAAGCAGAGAAUGAACAUUAUUGAUGAUUUGUGCAGACGGACCUCAGACGAUCUUGAAUUAUGUGUGAGAGUAAAAGAUAGACACUUGCACAUUGCUGUGUUUACUUGGGUCUUGUGUAUGUAUGUGUGUGUCAGUUUUUCCUCAGAUGUUCCUUGUGACCUUUGACCCUGGAGCCGGGGUCAAACCCUGACAAAUGAGACGGUUGAGCUCUGAGCAGAGCAGCAAACAUUCCACAACCAUCUUCUGUCCUCCUUCUCCUCCUCCUUACAUCACUCACCCCUCUCUCUCCAUCUCCCCUUGAACAACGACAGGAGCAAAUGAUGUUUAAAACUAACAAUGAUGAUAUUGGAUGAUGAUAUUGCAUUUUAUAUUAAAUCAGAGAUAGCAUGUGAUCUGAGAGAAGUAAAUGCUGCGAAAGAGUUGAAAUUUUACAACUCUGCACUUUAACAACACACUUCCUGUUGAGUCUAUGUGUGCGUGUGCGCGCGUGCUUGUGUGUGUGGAAAGACUGUCAGUGAUGUCAAGGAUGAGAAAUGUUGCUGUGAGGUUUUUUACACACGCUGCUGGCUCCAGCAUUUCCGGCAACAUUUCUCACUCUGCCUCCCUCACACCAUCCGCUCUCCUGCAAUAUCCCGACAUUUUUCCGUCCUUUCCGUUCUCUUCCCUCCACCCUCCCCUCCUCGCUUUCAAUCCCCACUUCAAACUUCCUCUCCUUGUGCCAUCCUAAUCUCAGCCCUUUUCCUCUCUCUCUCUCUCUCUCUCUCUCUUUCUCCCUCUCUGGCUCACGCUCUCUCUCUCUCUCUCUCUCACACACACACACACACACUCUCUCCACCCACUAUUCUCUCUGAUUUUCUUGACACAGAAUGCAACCACCUGUGUAUUUAGGAUGAAUGUGAGGAGUUAUCCACCUUACUCCAGUGAGAGCUGGUUAAGGUAAGUGGUUUGUUGUUCAUUCUAGAUUUUUUUAAAAUGAAAUUGCUGAAACAAGCCCAACUGCCCUCUACAAAUGCUCCAGUCACUGCUGUGAUAACAGUUGUCUAAUUAUGAACGUCAGCAGAGCAGCCAGUGUCGGAAAGGACAAUGCAAUGCAGUAAGACGUUGUGACUCUAUUGAACUUGUACAAUGAUGUAAUGUAACAGUUACUGGAAUGCAGUUCCACACAGCACACAAUCCUAAUAAAAACAAAACACAAAUAUA